UGGGGAAUUUUGGACAAUGGGGGCAACCCUGAUCCAGCCAUGCCGCGUGAGUGAAGAAGGCCUUCGGGUUGUAAAGCUCUUUCGGCGGGGACGAAACGGUCCGUGACAACACCACGGACUAAUGACAGUACUCGCAGAAGAAGCACCGGCUAACUACGUGCCAGCAGCCGCGGUAAUACGUAGGGUGCAGGCGUUAAUCGGAAUUACUGGGCGUAAAGCGUGCGCAGGCGGCUCCUUAAGUCAGAUGUGAAAUCCCCGGGCUUAACCUGGGAACUGCGUUUGAAACUGAGGGGCUAGAGUGUGGAAGAGGGGGGUGGAAUUCCAGGUGUAGCAGUGAAAUGCGUAGAUAUCGGGAGGAACACCUGUGGCGAAGGCGGCCACCUGGUUGGAUACUGACGCUGAGACGCGAAAGCGUGGGGAGCAAACAGGAUUAGAUACCCUAGUAGUCCCUGAGCGGGCUGGCAAGGCGCAU
rnacentral:rRNA from 1 species